rnacentral:rRNA from 1 species
CUACGGAGGGUGCAAGCGUUACUCGGAAUUACUGGGCGUAAAGGACGCGUAGGCGGUUUAGAAAGUCAGAUGUGAAAGCCUAUGGCUUAACCAUAGAACUGCAUUUGAAACUUCCAAACUAGAGUGGGGGAGAGGUCAGUGGAAUUAGUGGUGUAGGGGUAAAAUCCGUAGAGAUCACUAGGAAUACUCAUUGCGAAGGCGACUGACUGGAACUUAACUGACGCUGAGGCGUGAAAGCGUGGGGAGCAAACAGGAUUAGAAACCCUAGUAGUCC